GGACGGGUGGCCGAGUGGCUGAAGGCGCACGCUUGGAAAGCGUGUUAACGGGCAACCGUUACGUGGGUUCGAAUCCCACCCUGUCCGCCU
rnacentral:tRNA from 3 species